rnacentral:rRNA from 1 species
GACGUAGGGGGCGAGCGUUGUCCGGAAUUAUUGGGCGUAAAGGGCUCGUAGGCGGUCUGUUGCGUCGGGAGUGAAAACUCAGGGCUUAACCCUGAGCCUGCUUCCGAUACGGGCAGACUAGAGGUAUGCAGGGGAGAACGGAAUUCCUGGUGUAGCGGUGAAAUGCGCAGAUAUCGGGAGGAACACCGGUGGCGAAGGCGGGUCUCUGGGCCGAUACUGACGCUGAGGAGCGAAAGCGUGGGGAGCGAACAGGAUUAGAUACCGGAGUAAGCUCC